ACGUAUUUAGUACAUACUACGUACUUACUUUAUGUGAGUCAGAUGUGCGUGUGUGCAUGUGCAUGUGAAUGAACGUAAGUGUGUGUAAGAUGUUUGGUUCUUCAUCCCGUACGCUUUGGUAAUGUGGGAAGAAGGAAAGUGGCUGAGGUGGCAUAAUUUUUUACCACGAAAAGUGCAAAUGACGCUAAACUACUUGCUCUGCAAGUUUGCAAAAGUAAUUUCAACAAAAAAGGGAGAAAAUGCCUCGAUUCAUGCUGUUGCCUGUUUUUAUCUCACUUACGUCGCAAUUGGAGUAUCUUCGUUUCUCGACAUUUUGAACUGAAAUCCAAAUGAAUGAUGAACACAAAACGAUGUACACACAAAAUUGAAUGACA